CCCCAACUUAUAUUCCUCCUACCCUCGUUGCCUCUCUUUCUCCCAUCUCCGAACAAGCCGUCAAGAUUCAAGAAGGAAAAAAAGAAAAGGGUUUUCUCUCCGUUUCCGAGCUUCUUUUAACUUCGUUGGUCAAUCAUGGCUGCCAAGAACAAUGCUGAUGCUCGUCAUCAUCUCUCUGUUAACACUUCACCACGGAUCACCAAAGAAAUGCAAGGACUGGAUAAUCUCAUCCCCCUUUCACCGCAGUGGCUUUUGCCAAAGCCUGGGGAUAGUAAACCUGGAAUGGUGACUGGGGAAUCCAAUUUCAGCCCAAGUCCAGGUCAUAACAGCAGUGUGGAUGCCUCAAAAUCUUCAGGAAAUGGUGAGGAAAUCCAAGAUAAUGAGAAGAAAAGGGAUGUUUAUCGGCUAAGCUUGCUUGAUACGGAAUCUGGUCGUAGGGACCGCUGGCGUGAUGAAGAACGAGACACAGAUUCCUCUAUCCGCAGGGACCGUUGGAGGGAGGGAGAUAAAGAGAUUGGUGAUGCACGCAAGGUGGACAAGUGGAUGGAUAGCCCCUCCAUUAGACACUCUGGGGAAGCACGCCGUGCCCCAUCUGAGAGGUGGACUGAUUCUGGUAACAGGGAAAGUAAUUAUGAGCAACGACGUGAGAGCAAAUGGAACACACGUUGGGGGCCGGAAGAUAAGGAGUCAGAAAGUUGGCGUGAGAAGUGGCUAGAUUCUAGCAGAGAUGGUGAAGUGCCUCGUGAUAAAGGGUUAUCUCAUCUGAACAAUCAUGGGAAAGAUGAUAAAGAGGGAGACCAUUAUAGGCCAUGGCGAUCUAACUCCUCCCAAAACCGAGGAAGGGGAGAGCCCCAUUUCCAAACUCUGACACCUAACAAGCAAACUCCUAUGCAUGGUUACAGCAGGGGCCGAGGAGAAAAUACACCUCCGACCUUCUCUGUUGGUCGUGGUAGAGUCGGUUCUGGUGGAAGUGCUGUGAAUAGCACUUCUGCCUAUCCUCUGUCUUUAGGUUCUGUCUCAGACAAGAUUGAAAGUGCUCAUGGGGACUCUUUCCCUUUAAGUUAUAGUAGGACAAAAUUGCUUGAUAUAUACAGGGUGACUGAUGUGGGAUCCUUCGGAAAGCAGUUAGAUGGAUUUGUAGAAGUUCCUUCUCUUACACAGGCAGAUCCAUUAGAACCUCUGGCACUUUCUGCACCUACUGUUGAGGAACUGGUUGUUCUAAAGGGAAUCGACAGGGGUGAUAUAGUGAGUAGUAGUAUUCCUCAGGUUUCUAAAGAUGGUACUGUUGGACGGAAUUCAACUGAUUUGGUGCAAACAAGACGAACCAGGCUUGCAGGUAGUCGAGAAGAUUUGCCAUCUUCCAUUGAUGACUUCAAGGAGGAUUCUGACAAUUCAAAAGCUUUUAGGGAAGAUUUUAGUGCCACUAAGAAAGUUAAUGAGGUGGCAGUUGGUAGAGAAAUGAGUGCACAUGGAAAUUCCUCUCCUCAUCCAGGCAUUCCAUGGAGAUCUCAGUCACUAGGAGAGCGCUCACAUUUACCAUCGCAUGAUUGGAGAGAUUUUUCUGCUGAAGUAAGGUCAGCAACUUCUGAAAUGGGCUGGUCACAUUCACAAAAGGAGCAGGAUGCAGAACGGGAGAAUAGUAAAACAGUUCUGCCUUCUUACUGCAAGGAUGAUUCUAACUGGCAAGUUGGUGAGGGUUUUCUUUCAGAUAUUGGCAGUGACUCUGUUCUUAGAAGGCAGUCAUCUGAAGUCUUUGACAGGGAACGGGAAACUCGGAAGUUUCUGCUGCAGACUUCUCCGGAGGAGUUAUCCCUGUGUUAUAAAGAUCCACAAGGUGAAAUUCAAGGCCCUUUCUCUGGAAGUGACCUUAUUGGGUGGUUUGAAGCUGGAUAUUUUAGCAUAGACUUGCAAGUCCGCAUUUCAAGUGCGUCACCUGACACACCUUUCUCAUUGCUUGGGGAUGUUAUGCCACACUUACGAGCAAAAGCAAGGCCUCCGCCAGGAUUCAGUACAUCGAAACCGAAUGAAACUGCAGAUACAUUAAGUAGGCCAAAGUUCAGUAGUCUUGGAAAGCUUCAUGCAGGUUCCAGUGAGAUUGAUAUCAUGAAAAAUGAAUCAAGGGGUAAACAUGAAUCUGGGACUGAUGCUGAGAAUAGGUUUUUGGAGUCACUGAUGUCUAGUAAUAUGAGCAGUCCUCCGCGAGAUAAGUUUGGUUUCCCAGAAGGCCUGCAAGGGUUUAUUGGGAAUAAUUCUGGUGGAAUGCCCCCAGUGGGAGCAGAAAGUGGUAAUGAUCUAAAUUACCUCUUGGCACAAAGAAUAUCCCUAGAGCGACAGAGGUCUCUUCCCAAUCCUCACCCAUAUUGGCCUGGGAGAGAUGCAGCUUCCAUGGUUCCAAAGGCAGAGCUUGUCCCUGACCCUUCUAGUCACUCAAAACUCCUAUCUUCAAUGGUAGAUGGUCAUCUUCAGAUUCCUCAUAUUCAGAAUAAGGACUUUAUGUCUGUACUACAAGGAGGUGCAUCUGACAAUUCUUCAUCUUCUGUUAAUGGAAUUUCCAGUUGGUCAAAUUUUCCUGUCCAGAGUGGCUUGGAUGCACGCCAGGAUAAGAUUGACAUGCAUCAUAAUCAACCUUACUCUGGCCAAACUGCAUAUGUGAUGCAGCAACAAAGGAUGCAACAACAGAAUCAGCCAUCUUUAUCACCUUUAAUUCCUCAAAAUAUAGAUCAUCCUACUGGCAUUGUAACGCCGGAAAAGCUACUCACUUCUGGUCUCUCUCAAGAUCCACAGAUGCUAAGUAUAUUACAACAGCAGUAUUUAUUGUCCCAACUUCAAUUACAUCCGCAGGCACCUGUUCCCGCACAACUAUCACUGCUAGAUAAGCUCAUAUUGCUUAAGCAGCAACAGAAACAGGAGCAGCAGCAGCAGCUAUUGCGGCAACAGCACUUGCUUUCACAGGUUUUGUCUGAGCAUCAGUCUCAUAAUCACUUUCCUGAGCCCUCUUAUGGACAUUUACCGGCUGCUGCUGUCGCAGCAGGAAAUGCUUCUGUGGACCUUCGUGGGCUUUGCCCUCCACAUGAUAUGUUUCAGAAUAAUUCACAGAUGCCAGUUCCUAAUCUGCAAGAUGGUCAUGUGGCUAACUUUGCUACUUUGUCCUCGCAACUUCCACAGGAUAUUGCUUACAGUACCAGUUCUGAAGCCUCUCUUCUACAUUUACCGCAUCAAAUUUUUGGCAAUGUUACCCAUCCAAAGGGUUGGGGUGGUACUAUACCAGAAAAGAUUGAUGACAUUCAGCAGAAGAUGCCAACUGUGGUGGAUAACUCACCCUCGCUGGAAGUAAUGGACAAUUCUUCAUUUGAGACUCCUACUCUACAGGAACAUGUGCUUACUUCGGACAGGAGUGCUGCUGUAGUUCAAGCUCAGUUGUCAGAGAGUACACCCACAAGUAGUGAACCUGCUGUAGUAUGUACACCUGAAGCUAUAUCGAUCUCUGUACCUCUAGCAUCUCCAGAAAUCCCUUCUAGUGCUCCAUCAGGGGCUGACAAGGCCGAAACAUCUGUUCAUGAACAAACCAAUGAUGUGAAGCCUCCGUCAGCUAGUGUUGAAGAACCACAAGGUCAACAUGUGCAAUGUAAAAUAGAGUCCCUAAUGGUAAAAGAAGUUAAAAAUACUGAAGUACGUGAGGCAAAGAAGGCUUCAGAGAAGAAAUCCAGAAAGCAAAAAUCUUCAAAGAUGCAAUCUUCUGCAGACCAGUCAAAGGGGAUAUCCAAAACAUCUACUCCACUGCCAAUGAAGCAAUCUGAAACUGUGGGGGUAGAGGCAAAAUCUGAGAUGCACAUGGAUGUAGGAGAAGCAAUUUAUGGCACAUCACCGGUGACAACAGGAGAUGCAGGAACUGGAGUAUCUACUGUUGAAACACUAGCUUCUCAACUAGCUAAGAGCUCCUUGGCUGGUAGCUUCUCUAAUAAUGAAGUUUCAUCUAUAGAAGGCAGGUUUGAACCGAGAGAAGUUGAAUCUAUUACAGCACAUAGCACCCAGGGACAUUCAGGACAAAAAGCUUGGAAAUCUGGUCCUGGUCUCAAAGCUAAGUCCCUUUUGGAAAUUCAACUGGAAGAACAGCGGAAGGCUCAGAUGGAGAUGAUUAUUUCUGAGAAUGCCAUAUCUGUCAACUCUAUGAGCUCCUCAACCCCUUGGGCUGGGGUUGUUGCGAAUGCAGAGCCUAAGAUGGUUAGAGAUAAUCAUCAAGAUGCAGUUGGUGCACAGACUACCAUUGGAAAAGCUGAUAGUUCUGUCAACCCAGUGAGCAAAAAGAGCCAGUUACAUGACCUAUUGGCUGAAGAAGUUUUGGCCAAGUCUAAUUCUAAUGAAAGAACUUCAGAGGUUUCUGACAAUGUCUCUAAUCUUCCAGUCAGUAUCCAAGCAGAUCCGAUUGUUGACAAUGAUGAUUUCAUCGAGGCUAAAGACACUAAAAAGAGCCGCAAAAAGUCUGCGAAGGGUAAGGGUAUGGCUGCUAAGGCAUCGACACCCAUUGCUUCUGCUGAUAUGCCGAUUGCAUCAAGUCCUGUUGAGAAAGCAAAAAGUUCUCGUCAGGUACAGCAGGAGAAGGAUGUGUUACCUGCUCCACCGUCAGGUCCGUCCUUGGGAGAUUUUGUGAUCUGGAAGGGGGAGUCUGCAAGUCCUUUGCCUGCUCCAGCCUGGUCUACUGACUCAGGGAAGCUAAAUAAGCCAACAUCAUUAAGGGACAUCCUAAAGGAACAGGAGAAAAAGUUUUCAUCGGUGCAGAACCAAAACCAAAUGCCAACUCCCCAGAAAGUACAGUCAACCCGCAAUACCCGUGGAAGUGGCUCCUCAUGGACAGUCUCUGGGUCAUCUCCCUCUAAGGCUGCAUCUCCAAUUCAAAUCAAUUCCCUUGCUUCUGUACAUUCAAAAUCUAAGGCGGAGGAUGAUUUGUUCUGGGGCCCACUGGAUCAAUCAAAACAAGAAGCCAAACAGUCAGAUUUUCCAUCUCUUGCAAAGCAGAGCAGUUGGGGAUCCAAAGUCACAGCUGUAAAAGGGACCGUAGCAGGAUCCGCAAGUCGGCAGAAGUCCACAGGAAGCAGAACAGCUGAUUAUUCUGUUUCCUCUUCUGCUGUUUCCCAGUCCUCGCUAAGAGGAAAGAGGGACACCAUAUCCAAGCAGUCAGAGGCCAUGGACUUCAGAUAUUGGUGUGAAAGUGAGUCUGUGAGGCUUACUGGGACAAAGGAUACAAGUUUCCUGGAAUUUUGUCUGAAGCAGUCAACGUCAGAGGCUGAGACACUUCUGAUAGAGAAUCUUGGCUCAUUUGAUCCUGAUCAUGAGUUCAUCGAUAAGUUUCUCAACUACAAGGAGCUGUUGUCAGCUGAUGUGAUUGAGAUUGCCUUCCGAUCUCAGAACGACCGAAGGGUGGAUGGUUUUGGUGUUGCAGAUGUAAAUGCAGAGAGUGCUGGUGCUGGGGACUUUGACUCAGACAUGGCAGCGGAUGGGUCUACCAAAGGGGGAGGCAAGAAGAAAGGGAAGAAAGGGAAGAAGGUGAGCUCAUCGGUUCUGGGGUUCAACGUCGUUAGUAAUCGCAUCAUGAUGGGUGAGAUUCAAACACUGGAGGAUUAGGAGAGGUUUGAAGGCAAAAGUUGUAAAUACAUUUGUCUGAAGGACCCUUGUAAAUGUUGUUUUAGGAUUUUUUAACCCUCCCCCCUCUCCCUCUCUUCUAUAGAGCAGAAAUAGCAGGCAGCACGAGUGUCGGCUCAAGCGGUUUUGUGGAGUAUAUUUAAGAGGUGCAUCUUGUCGUAACCCAAGUGGUGGAUUAAGCAGUUGUAAAUGGAGGUUUCAAGAGUCAAAGAUCAGAUCAGCUGGAUGAACUCUGUUAAAAGUCUAUCGAGGAAAGGAAUAGUUCAGCGUAAGUCUUUUUUCUAUUCCUAGGACUUGUAAUAGUUAUUCUAUUUAAUGAUUGAAGGAAGGCAACUUCAGUCAAAUUGAUUGGAACUCCUUUGCUCAAAUUUGAGGAAUCUCUCCCUCUCUCUCUCUCUCUCUCUCUCUUCUCUUUACAAACUCCAAGCAGGAUGAGCUUCAAUUUUGAUUAUCCUUUCAUCUUCUUCCCUGAAGACCUUUAAUUCAAGGAAAAAUCUGCUUUCAAAAUACUUCUAGAAAACAACUUACUAGUGUAUCUUCUUCC